rnacentral:tRNA from 1 species
GGGGCGUCGCCAAGUGGUAAGGCAGGGGACUUUGGAUCCCCCAUUCGAAGGUUCGAAUCCUUCCGCCCCAG